CCUACGGGAGGCAGCAGUGAGGAAUAUUGGUCAAUGGGCGCGAGCCUGAACCAGCCAAGUCGCGUGAGGGAGGACGGCCCUACGGGUUGUAAACCUCUUUUGCCGGGGAGCAACGUGCGCCACGUGUGGCGCCACUGAGAGUACCCGGAGAAAAAGCAUCGGCUAACCCCGUGCCAGCAGCCGCGGUAAUACGGGGGAUGCGAGCGUUAUCCGGAUUUAUUGGGUUUAAAGGGUGAGUAGGCGGAUCGUUAAGUCAGUGGGCAAAUGGAGGGGCCCACCCCCUUCCCGCCAUUGAAACUGGCGUUCUUGAGUGGAAGAGAAGUAUGCGGAAUGCGUGGUGUAGCGGUGAAAUGCAUAGAUAUCACGCAGAACCCCGAUUGCGAAGGCAGCAUGCCGGCUUCCGACUGACGCUGAAGCACGAAAGCGUGGGGAUCGAACAGGAUUAGAUACCCCUGUAGUC
rnacentral:rRNA from 1 species